AAAGGAAUUGACGGGGGCCCGCACAAGCGGAGGAACAUGUGGUUUAAUUCGAUGAUACGCGAGGAACCUUACCCGGGCUCGAACGGCUUUAGAAUAUAUCAGAGAUGGUAUAGCCAGCAAUGGCUGAAGUCGAGGUGCUGCAUGGUUGUCGUCAGCUCGUGCCGUGAGGUGUCGGCUUAAGUGCCAUAACGAGCGCAACCCUUGUCGUUAGUUACCAUCAGGUUAUGCUGGGGACUCUAACGAGACUGCCACCGUAAGGUGUGAGGAAGGGGGGGAUGACGUCAAAUCAGCACGGCCCUUACGUCCGGGGCGACACACGUGUUACAAUGGUAGGUACAGAGGGCAGCUACCCAGUGAUGGGAUGCGAAUCUCUAAAGCCUAUCUCAGUUCGGAUUGGAGUCUGCAACUCGACUCCAUGAAGUUGGAUUCGCUAGUAAUCGCGCAUCAGCCAUGGCGCGGUGAAUACGUUCCCGGGCCUUGUACACACCGCCCGU
rnacentral:rRNA from 1 species